UACAGAGGGUGCGAGCGUUGUUCGGAAUUAUUGGGCGUAAAGCGCGUGUAGGCGGCUUUGCAAGUCGGGUGUGAAAGCCCUCAGCUUAACUGAGGAAGUGCGCCCGAAACUGCAUUGCUUGAGUACCGGAGAGGAUGGCGGAAUUCCCCAAGUAGAGGUGAAAUUCGUAGAUAUGGGGAGGAACACCGGUGGCGAAGGCGGCCAUCUGGACGGAUACUGACGCUGAGACGCGAAAGCGUGGGUAGCAAACAGG
rnacentral:rRNA from 1 species